rnacentral:rRNA from 1 species
AUGAACGCUGGCGGCGUGCCUAAUACCUGCAAGUCGAGCGAACGGACGAGAAGCUUGCUCCUCUGAUGUUAGCGGCGGACGGGUGAGUAACACGUGGAUAACCUACCUAUAAGACUGGGAUAACUUCGGGAAACCGGAGCUAAUACCGGAUAAUAUUUUGAACCGCAUGGUUCAAAAGUGAAAGACGGUCUUGCUGUCACUUAUAGAUGGAUCCGCGCUGCAUUAGCUAGUUGGUAAGGUAACGGCUUACCAAGGCAACGAUGCAUAGCCGACCUGAGAGGGUGAUCGGCCACACUGGAACUGAGACACGGUCCAGACUCCUACGGGAGGCAGCAGUAGGGAAUCUUCCGCAAUGGGCGAAAGCCUGACGGAGCAACGCCGCGUGAGUGAUGAAGGUCUUCGGAUCGUAAAACUCUGUUAUUAGGGAAGAACAUAUGUGUAAGUAACUGUGCACAUCUUGACGGUACCUAAUCAGAAAGCCACGGCUAACUACGUG